UAUUGCGCAAACUAGAGAAUAUGUAAUAUGUAAAAUAGAGUAUGUAAGUAAUAACUAUACUUACUAAAACUAGUGAAACUUGUUUCUUGAUGACGUUUUUAAAGCCUACGCUAGAAGAAUAACCCAAAGGAUCAAUUUACUGCACUAAUCUUAUAUAUUAAGAUUGGAGUUUGCCACUACUAUCGGUCAACUAAAGAAAAUACAUUCGUUCCAAAAAGCUUGCAGUAAUAAAAAACGGAAUCAAUAUGGAUAAAAACUCAAAAUCUAUUAAAAGUGCUGGUGCUUCUUUAAGAAAAAUGGGAGAUAGUUUACAAAAGAAAUACGAAACCAAGAAGAAAUAUUCCUCAACAUCUUCUUCGUCAUCUUCAUCAUCAUACAAAAACAAGACAAGCUACAGUAGUACCAGUAAAACGAAAAAAAAUGGAAAGUAGAUGACAUUUGCUGGAAGUUGAUGUUUCUCAUAAGCAAAGUUGCUGAAAACGAUCUUUAUGAGGAUGUUAAAAAAAUGACUGCUGAAAUAACAACGAGCAUGUUUCAAUUUCAUCAAGACGUGCACAGACAUCCCUUGUUUUGAACGAUUAUAAUUAAAAAUGACAAUUAGAAUGAAAAAGACAUUCUGGCGAGAUUGCCAACUUAUUGUGAUUUUUAUGUUGUACAAAUUGUAUGUUUUAUGAUUUAAAUGUGUUUCUGCACAUUACAGGUUCGAAAGUUAUUUUAUAUAAAAAUCUUAAUUAACUUUCAAUAAA